CGAACCCGUUUUUAAUGAUGGAUUACUACAACCAGAGCAGAGGAUGCUUGAUCCCAGAGAAGGGACUGGUGCCCGGAGCGCCCCAUCCCUACAGCACGUCCAUCAGAAACCAGCAUUGGAACGGCUCCAAUCACUCGAUAGACACCCAG